ACUUACGCUGCGCAGCGGAAAAGGCGGCGUGGGCUAGGGCAAAGAGACCGAUGCCCACCAGCCCCUUCCACAGCGACGGCGCCAUGAUGCCGAAGGAGCAGCAGCCCAGCAAAAGAAGCGAAGGACGGCGGAGCUGUUUCUUCUUCCACCGGCGGGUGUCCGCGCGCCGCAGAAAGAUGACGUCACUGAAGUCCUGAGCGCAAAGUGUCUCAGUGGUGGAAAAGCCAGAGGGCUGUGAGAAAACGGAAACAGGAAUGCCGGGAAGAAGCAGAAAGCUACACGGAAAAAGGUCCGCGAGAACCCACGAACCUGCGCUAUGGAGGCCUCUCUAGGAGGGCCGGAGCCCAACGGAGUCAUAAACGAAGAGGCGAAAGCGGGAGCUACGGGGAAGCGAAGAGGAAGGGCGCCGGCAAAUGGGGGCAGGGCCAGUGGCGAGAACAGGGCCUUUCCUGUGCUUCAGCUCCCUGGAAACUGGCACUGCAGAAGGAGGCAAGGGUGUUAAAACGAGGAGGCAGUGUCAGGACAAAAUCCCAGGAUCUGGAACCCCAAAUACUUGGCUCGCGGGAAGUGCUCAGUAAACCAUUUUAAGGUCCUGGAGAAAGAUUCGCGCAAAAAGAGGUGUAGCGCGGGGGGAGUGUUUUGUCGUGAAAAGAACCAGCUUACAUUAAGGAAGAAAUGAAAGAGGAAAUUUUAAAAUGCUAAUAACGCAGCCUUCUUGCCUUGUCUCUAUCUCUGAUCCGGUUCCUCCAGUGACCCCUGACUGAGUGGC
rnacentral:lncRNA from 1 species